rnacentral:rRNA from 1 species
CACGUAGGGUGCGAGCGUUGUCCGGAAUUAUUGGGCGUAAAGAGCUCGUAGGCGGUCUGUCGCGUCGAUCGUGAAAACUUGGGGCUUAACCCUGAGCUUGCGGUCGAUACGGGCAUGACUGGAGUUCGGCAGGGGAGACUGGAAUUCCUGGUGUAGCGGUGAAAUGCGCAGAUAUCAGGAGGAACACCGAUGGCGAAGGCAGGUCUCUGGGCCACUACUGACGCUGAGAAGCGAAAGCAUGGGGAGCGAACAGG